rnacentral:rRNA from 1 species
ACGCACGCUGGCGGCUUGCUUCACACAUGCAAGUCUCACGGAAAGGCCCUGCUUUUGUGGGGUGCUCGAGUGGCGAACGGGUGAGUAACACGUGAGUAACCUGCCCUUGACUUUGGGAUAACUUCAGGAAACUGGGGCUAAUACCGGAUAGGAGCUCCUGCUGCAUGGUGGGGGUUGGAAAGUUUCGGCGGUUGGGGAUGGACUCGCGGCUUAUCAGCUUGUUGGUGGGGUAGUGGCUUACCAAGGCUUUGACGGGUAGCCGGCCUGAGAGGGUGACCGGCCACAUUGGGACUGAGAUACGGCCCAGACUCCUACGGGAGGCAGCAGUGGGGAAUAUUGCACAAUGGGCGGAAGCCUGAUGCAGCAACGCCGCGUGCGGGAUGACGGCCUUCGGGUUGUAAACCGCUUUCGCCUGUGACGAAGCGUGAGUGACGGUAAUGGGUAAAGAAGCACCGGCUAACUACGUG